GCAGAGAGAGAAAUCCAAACUCUUCUAACAGGAAAGAUCAUCUUAUGCCACCAAUCCAUCAAUUUAUUAUGAGUUUUCCUCUUACUUCUGAUUUUCUUUAUCCCGGCCAGACCUUCACCUCUCCCUUUCUUCCUCUUUCUCUAUCCACUCUCAACCAUCAGAGAGAUGAGAGAGACUUUGAAGUUGCUUUUUUCAGCUUAG
rnacentral:misc_RNA from 1 species